rfam:Myotis brandtii contig285996, whole genome shotgun sequence.
GGUGGUUCUCAGGUGACGCACCCUGGAAUCAGGCUCCCUCCUCUCUGGUUCUAGGUGCAUCCCCCAAGAAUCGCA